AGGUUGUAGAGUGCUGCAUAUAUACAUGCCAUUCCCCAUCGUUUAGUCGUGUCAACUUACAUGUUUCUUGCCUUCAACUUCAGGUCCUUUGUGUUGCCGCCUGAAAACAUUAUGACUGUUGUCUGUGUGGCAAAAUAAUUAGCAUUCAGAUGAGGAGCAAUUCCCAUCUCUCGUACCUCGGGACUGCAUUGAGAGAAGAUGUGCAUUUGGAAAAGUUGAGUGGAUGAACAGUGAAAGAACGAACAGUGGGCAUUCAGAAGCAGUGCAAGAGCUCUCCUUGUUGCCAUGAAGCAAGUCUGUCACUUUUUGGGGUGAAUCUCUUGAGAUGGAAAACAGAGUGGCUGGUGCUGAAAUGAUUGCUUGACAGUCUGGCCUACUUAAAAGUGAAGAGUUGGACUGCAUAGAUAAUUUAUUUGGACUACUUUGUUUUGCAAUUCUUCAGCUUUCCAUCUGAGAGUACAUUCAAGGCCAUUUAUUUUAACAGUCAAAACUUGGAAAGGGAGAAAGAUUGUACAGAGACAAUAAGGCUAUGGAGAACCAUUCCUGGCAGCAGCAUCACUUCGUGACACCGAGGUAGGCUUUCAUGACAGAAUAACAUAA
rnacentral:lncRNA from 1 species